CAGGCACGAGUGACACGGGCUCGUAGAAGGCAGCCAGCUCUUGCUUUGAUAGGAACCGCUUUUUCAGGGUGUCGGCGAGCGGCUUGUCGUCCAGGUGUUUGAGAAACGGCAACGAGUGACUCAGCUGCUCGGCACGGCUGCUAUCUGCCUUGGUGUACUCCGUUCUGGACUUGCGCUUGUCAGCGGCUGGUUCAACCUUUUUGAUGUUUCGGGUGUCUGUAAAGGCCAGAUCAGGGUGAAAAUAACUCCUCUUGACAACGUUGCAAAUUUGCAACUAGACUCACCAGAUUCAUCAGUGAAGGUGACAGUUGGGACCAGUAAUGACAAUCAGAUAGUAGAUGAAUCAUGUCAAAAGCAUUCUGGAAACUCCAUAUUUUCUAACGUAGAGAUUGAUGGAACUGAGAAGCUACACGGGAGAAACAAUCAAACUCCAUCUGUCCAGCUCACAACUUCACUAAAAUCGAAACUUUCUGAAUUGGAAUUACUGAUUGAUGCUUUAAAAAUGAAAUUUGGAAAAUGUGGACGAUCUGUAACUGAGGAAACAGCUGAAAGAUUGCCAACAUCCAGGAGAUCGCUGAGCAUUGAUAAAUUGGCAAUGGCAUAUAGUAAUGAAAAUGUUGAUGAGACGCAAAGCUCUGCAGUUUCAAAAAUUUUAACUGGUAGUUCUUGUUCAAAUGAAGUUGGGGAUUUCAAUGUUAAUAGGAAAUCUGGCUCAGAAUAUUUCAGUAGAAACUGUACUGAUCAAGAAGAAGCCCCUUCUGAUGAUAACAGGCGAGAAGACGACUUCCAAUUUAGAACGUACUCUAUCCAUUCAUAUGACGAUGACUCUAGCACAAAGACUGAUACUCCUGACAACAUUGAUCAGGAAUGAUAAUUCUAGAAUAAAAUCAAUGCCAAAGAUUACAAAAUAAUAUUACAGGAAAGUUAGAUACUGGUUAAGAGAAUGACAAAAUUUUCUAUUCGAGUUCUUUCCUGAUCAUUUAUUUGCUGAGCUUCGACUUCGGAUUUAGUUUAUUUUCCAUAUUUAUCAAAGAUACCUUUACAUUUUUCACCCAGUUUGUAACACAAUUGUGAAUUUUCCCCCUAAAGUUAUUCUAAUAAGAUUAUUUUUGCUCUAAACUAGUAUUUUUCAUGAAUUUUCUAUUGAAUAUUUCUUUAUUGUAAAAAUGAUAUCUAAUAAACCAUCACCUAUUGAACAAAA